rnacentral:rRNA from 1 species
UACGUAGGGGGCGAGCGUUGUCCGGAAUUACUGGGCGUAAAGGGUGCGUAGGUGGUUUCUUAAGUCAGAGGUGAAAGGCUACGGCUCAACCGUAGUAAGCCUUUGAAACUGGGAAACUUGAGUGCAGUAGAGGAGAGUGGAAUUCCUAGUGUAGCGGUGAAAUGCGUAGAUAUUAGGAGGAACACCGGUGGCGAAGGCGACUUUCUGGCUGACAACUGACGCUGAGGCGCGAAAGCGUGGGGAGCAAACAGGAUUAGAUACCCUGGUAGUCCCUGAGCGGG